AGCGACAAGAGGGGGCGAGACGGCGCGUGACGGAAUGACGCGUGACGUCAUGACGCGCGGGAGCGUACAGAGGCGCGUCGGAGGGCGCGAGAGGGUUCCCGGCUGUUGCCUCCUGCGUUCGCUUAGCAGCCGCGGUCAGAGGCACAACGUCGACACCGAGAGACGCUCAUUUAGUUACCCAGAUAAAACACGGGUUAGGUCAUCGAACGAAUACACGCUUAAAGAGCAAAUGUGUGUGUUUUUCCAUCUCAGGUCCAAACGACUCUGCCACACAGCUUUAACUGACUAAACGUGCGCUGAGUAGAAGUGGGGGUUCCAAAGGCUUGGCGUGAACCACCUUGGUUAUUUCGAAUCUUUGGGUUUCGUUCCCUGAUUUGUGGUGAGGUCAAGGUGGAUUCCCAGUUUUACCCUCAGCAGAGCCGUUGAGACCUUUGAGACUGUUCUCUCUUAACGGCCCUAUCUGAUGUAGCAACAUCAUAUUUUAAAAAAAAAACACGGCA